rnacentral:rRNA from 1 species
GACGAACGCUGGCGGCGUGCUUAACACAUGCAAGUCGAACGGUGAACCAGAGCUUGCUCUGGGGAUCAGUGGCGAACGGGUGAGUAACACGUGGGCAACCUGCCCAGACUCUGGGAUAACCUCGGGAAACCGAUGCUAAAUACCGGAUACGACCACUUCGGACAUCCGACGGUGGUGGAAAGUUUUUCGGUCUGGGAUGGGCCCGCGGCCUAUCAGCUAGUUGGUGGGUAAUGGCCUACCAAGGCGACGACGGGUAGCCGGCCUGAGAGGGCGACCGGCCACACUGGAACUGAGACACGGUCCAGACUCCUACGGGAGGCAGCAGUGGGAAUAUUGCACAAUGGGCGAAAGCCUGAUGCAGCG